GGGUAAGGAAAUUUUAGAAAAAAGGAAAAAAAGUACAGAUUGUAGAAAGCGUACAGGGCAGCCAAAUAAACAUUAAAUAUAUAAAAAAAAAGAAGGAAAAAAGAGAAAGAGGGAAGGAGAGGGAGAGAGGGUGGUCGGAGAAAAGAUGGGGCUUUGCUUUGGUUGCUUCGACGGAGGCAACAGCAAGCGUAUGACGAAGGAGGAAGAGCGAUUGGCCGAAGAAGAAGCCCGUGCUAGAGCCGCUGAAGCCGCCCAAAAAAAGCAAGAACAAGAAGGAGAGGCAAAAGAAGAGGGAAAGCAACCAGAAGCGGAAAAGCAAUCUGAUCAAAACUCAAACUCCAACUCCAAAAGCCACAGCGACAAUGACAAUGACGAACCAUUUGUAAAAGUUUAGC